CUUCGCCUCUACCUCCGGAGGGUCGCCGUAAAAGUACCUGCUAAUGUCGUCAAUUGAUUGCCAUCGAAUCCUUCUAUGAGUGCCACCCCUUUCCAUCCAGAAAAUAACGAGAAUGGUCUCCUUCCUCAUUUGCUGGGUACUGGUAGAAGAAAAUGGCUCUAUACAGACAUUGGUUUUGAAUAGGCCAAGGUUACAGGACUCCUAAAAAAUCACUUCUUCAGAGGAGGGAAACAGAGUUGGACUGUUAAUUGUAAAGGAGCAAAAUUCAAGAUUCGGGAUCUACGAGAGAUGCAAGAGCUUUUGUUCUUAUCAAGGGAUCAAUGAUCCGUUGCAUGGAAAUUGCACGGAAUAGGAUCAGCACAACAAGGAGGCUGAAGCAGGACGUUAAGGUUAUCAAUAAAGGCAAGAAAUUCUACUUAUUCUUCUGAAUAAAGAGGUACUGUUCCCUGCUGUUACAUUAUUGAAUAAUUGCAUAAUCCUUUGGUUUUUACUGUUAUGGAGAUGAUGAUGACUCUGCCCAUUUUUCUCGAACAUCUGAAAUGGUUAGACUUAACUCCUUGUUAUUUUCUCACCAUACAAUUUUGUGGUGAUGCAUCAUUGAGCACUUGCACUUAAGAGUAUUGACAUUGGUACUGUGAUUUGAGCCUGACUUGCAAGAAGCCUCUAAUAUCUCAUCAAUCCAGACUGUUAGCUGAUAAAUAUUUCUAACUAAUCCAGAAGCAUGUGGUUAGGUUGUCAUUUGAAUGGAUUUUUUCAGUUGCAUGGUUUGUAUAAAUCUGAGAUAUGAUUGUAUCACAAAUUACUCCAUUAUUUUUUCCAUAUAGCUGUAAAAUUGGGUAACUUUGCUGUGACAAAAACAAGUUGUGUAUAUAUGCCACUGUUAUUGCGAGAAACUGAGAUAUCAGAUCGAUUAUGCUUAUUAUAUCUUAUAGAUAUUGUUCCUGUUUGUUGUCACCUUUUUGUAUCAAAGUGUUGACACUUGCACUUUUUUUUAUGCGAGACACUUGCACUUUUGUACAAGUUCAUUUAUGUCCACUGCAGGGUAACCUUGAAGAGAAGCUUGCAACAUAAGUUGUAACCAAACAUUAUGAAAAGAGGUCUCACGCUGUGAAUAUUUAGUUGAUGCACUAGUGUUUUUAGAUGUUGCGCCUCUGUUUUCAUUCUCUUUUGAUUCAUGUAUGUAAAUUUGAUGGAAUUGUAUCCGAUGUAUGUGAAUUUUUAACUCCAUGGUUGAUGGAAGCUAUUGAUAGUGAUGUUUCUCUGUUCUAAACAUUCAGAGUAAUAAAAUAGCUAUGUGU